UUUAUUAAGAUGACUAAAAGCAAUCAAAAACAAGGGAUGAGAAAAAUACAAACAUUUAAGAGAUAAAAUGUGCAAUACAGAAAAUACUUAAAUUUUAAUUAAAGUACAAACUAUUUAGACCAGACUUCAAAAUAAUGCUGAUUACUUAGUGGAAAAAAAUAAAUGUAUCAAAACUGGGUGAGCAGUUUUAAUAGGAAGUCCAGAUUUCAUCCAUCCAUCCAUUACUUAUACGCCACUUAAUCCUGAUUCGGGUAGCAGGGGGCUGGAGUCUAUCCCAGCUGAAUUAAGUGAAGGCAGGAGACACCCUGGACAGAUCACCAGUCUACCGCAGGGCUACAUAUAGAGACAAACAAUCACACUCACUUUCACACCUACGAACAAUUUAGAAUUACCAAUCAACCUCAGCAUUUCUUUGAACUGUGGGACGAAGUCAGUGCCCAGAGAAAACUCACAUGCACAGGGAGCACAUGCAAACUGCAGACAUGCAGAAAGAUCCCGGGAACGCGGGGACACAAACUGGAGAUCUUCCAACUGCAAGACGAACGUCCAAGUCACUGUGCACCCAUCCAGAUUUUGUGUUAAAUUACUUUUGUGCCAGUCUCACCAGUGAAGCACAUAAACCAGUUAAACCAAUUGUGUUAUAUAUGUUUUUAGGCGGCUGCACAGUGGGGUAAUGGUUAGCACUUUUGCCUUGCAACAAGAAGAUCCCGGUUCAAAUCCUGGGGUGGGCCUGGGAUCUUUCUGCAUGGAGUUUGCAUGUUCUCCCUGUGCAUGCGUGGGUUUUCUCCGGCUUCCUCCCACAGUCCAAAAAUAUGCUGAGGUUAAUUGAUCUCUCUAAAAUUGCCUGUAGGUGUGAAUGUGUGUGUGAUUGUUUGUCUGUAUAUGUAGUCCUGCGAUAGACUGGCAACCUGUCCAGGGUGUCCCCUGCCUUCACCCGAGUCAGCUGUGAUAGGCUCCAGCACCCCCUGCGACCCUAGUGAGGACAAAGCAGUGUAUAGAGAAUGGAUGGAUAAAUUUGAGAGGAGCGUAAAGGAAGUAGGAACACAGCUGUCUCCUGGAACCUUGUGGUUAGUUUGUUACUUCCACAUAUGGGACAUACUCCCUCAGAUACAAUGCAAUGGGUUGUUUUUCAGUUAGAUAAGUCAUGCACAGGCCAAACAUCGAGCACAGUUCACACAGCAGUCUCAGUGGAAAAAAUACUGUUACACUAUUCAGUCUUCAUUAUGAUUCUGGAGUUCAAGUUCUUCCAUUAAAUGAUUAAUUUAAAAUAAAGCUUUUCAAUCUUUCAAUAGAAUAAAACUUUUCAAUCUUUCAAUAUGUACUCCAAAAAUAUGCAAGUUAUAACCUUUUGUUGUUGACAAACAGUAGCUGCCUGCAACCUGCAGAUGGCGCUGUUGUCUGUGAGAGAAAUGAGACUUAACGUGGACACUUGAAAUGAAAAAACUUCAAAAGAUAGUGUAUGUAAAACGGUCUGUAUAAGUUUCAGGAUUGAUUAAAGUCUUUUGAAAGCAUCAAACUUAAAUUACUUAAAGGACAACUUCAAACAUUUAAACCUACUAUAACUCUAUCAGUGUAUUACUGCAAAGACUUUCAUUCUGUUUUUGAAUAUGACACCAAAUGUAGGCAUGACGGUAGGAGAAUCCAUAUGAACAGCAGAUAAAAUUGUGC